UCCUGCGGCUGCAGAAACCACCCGACCUUGGUGUUUGGCCAUUGUUGAAGCCGGACCUUUCUUGUUCCCAGAGAUGAAGCUGUUUCUCCUCCACCUUUCUGCUGCCCUUGUAGCUACAGCAAACUCCCUAAAUUGUGUCUGUACUGAAAGCCCAGCAUGCAGUACUGGUACCUGUUCAAUUCCAGAGUCAGAAGCCAUCUGCAUAACAAUAGCCCAGGAAAAUAACAUGGGAGGAACCGCUGCCACAGGAAUAUCCAGGGGCUGCCAGCAGGAUUCUCAGCUUUGCAAUGAAGCCGUCUCUGUUACUGUGGCUGGAGGGUAUUUUACGAGGACCGUUUCCAAAUGCUGCAUGACAGAAAACUGCAAUAAUACUCCCCUUGAAUUACCACCCAAGAACCUCACCAAGAAUGGAGUGAAUUGUCCCACUAGUUUUGCACUUGGCUCUAACCACUUAGAAGAACCCGGGACUCUGAGUUGCACAGGAGAUGAAAAUAAUUGCAUCUCUGCGGCCGGGGAGCUAACUGCAGGAGAUGCUGCCGCUCUUCCCUUUAUAGCAUCAGGCUGUGCCUCAGCAACUGCCUGCAAUUUGCCUGUGCAGACGUACCUCGUUACUGGAGCCAUGGACUUCCUCCUGAAGAAAAUCAAGUGCAGCCCAUCCCCAGCCACCAACAGCGGCUGAAAGGAGCAGGCGGAAGCAACUUUCUUCACUUUUUGCAGGGUCACUGUGAUUCUUUGUCAUUCCCUGCUGUGAAUUCUUUGAAUAAACUAGCAUGAAAAAGAAUGCCCCCCUCAAAUCGCUACCCCAGUUUACAUUGCUUUAAAGCAGGCAUGGAGAACCUUUGGCUCCGAACUACAAUUCCCAUCAGCUCCAUCCAGUAAGAAUGGCCAGUGUCCAGGGAUGCUCAGAGAUGUAGUUCAGCAACAACCUGAAUGGCCAGAGCUUCCUCACACCUGCUUUACAGUUAGGAAGCUACAUCUGAUCUGCUACUCAAGACUUUCCCAUAAUUAUUAGGGCUGUCUUAUCCAUAUGCACUAGGGGUGUGAGGCACCCGGGUGCCAGGCUCUCAGGGACCCCCGGCCGAGAGUCCGGGGCCCGAGAGUUGAGUCCGGGGAAGAGCCCGCCCGUCGGUUGGAGUGCUGCGGUGGUCUCUUCUGCUGCGGGUGGCUCUCCACCCCAACCCCCCUCCUGCCCAGCGUCUGACAGCGGUGUCAUCAUCAAAGUCUUAAGGUGCCGCACCACCAUGGGACCAAAGCGAGCGGGCAUUCCAGGUCCCCAGACAGGCUUUCAUGAGCCGUCCGCAGAGGCUUGCCACUUGGGUGCCCGGUGGCAGCCAGCCUUAACUUUCCUCCUUCCCUUUCUCUGCCUCCCAAAUUUUAGGCACCUUGCUGGAGAUGGAGGGCAACAUGUGAGCAGGGAGGACAACACAGGCGACAAAGAAAUCGGUUCAGCAGAGUCCCUGGGCAUUUUAUUUGAUUUGUAACCCCCUCCCUGUUGCCAACACCUGGCAUCUGACUGAGCUCCCGCUGUAGCAGCUCCGUCCAGAAGGCGGCGGUGGCAAGGUGUGUGUGCCGGGCGGAUUUUUGCACCCUGGCGCCACAUGUGCUUAAGACAGCCCUGAUGAUUAUAUAGUCAUAGUCCUUCUCCCUCCUCUUUCUCUCUCUCUCUCUUUCUUUCUUUCUUUCUUUCUUUCUUUCUUUCUUUCUUUCUUUCUGUAAAUAAUUUUCACUUUUCAUGAUUAAGCUUAGGUAAGCCUAAAUGCUUGAUCCUGUUACACCUUUACUUAAAUUGUUGUAGAACGUACAAUUCACUUGAGAGUUAUUAUAAGCCUUGCUUGUCAUCUGAUCAAGCUCAG
rnacentral:lncRNA from 1 species